rnacentral:rRNA from 1 species
GUGUCAGCAGCCGCGGUAAUACAGAGGGUGCGAGCGUUGUCCGGAAUCACUGGGCGUAAAGGGCGCGUAGGCGGUCUGCUAAGCGUGUGGUGAAAGCUCGGGGCUCAACCCCGAGUCGGCCGUGCGAACUGGUGGACUGGAGCAUGUCAGAGGCAGGCGGAAUUCCGGGUGUAGCGGUGGAAUGCGUAGAGAUCCGGAAGAACACCGGUGGCGAAGGCGGCCUGCUGGGACAUUGCUGACGCUGAGGCGCGACAGCGUGGGGAGCAAACAGGAUUAGAAACCCGCGUAGUCC